AUUGAACGCUGGCGGCAGGCCUAACACAUGCAAGUCGAACGAGUGGCGGACGGGUGAGUAAUGUCUGGGAAACUGCCUGAUGGAGGGGGAUAACUACUGGAAACGGUAGCUAAUACCGCAUACCAUCGGAUGUGCCCAGAUGGGAUUAGCUAGGUGGUGGGGUAAAGGCUCACCUAGGCGACGAUCCCUAGCUGGCAUGAGAGGAUGACCAGCCAGACUGGAACUGAGACACGGCCCAGACUCCUCCGGGAGGCAGCAGUGGGGAAUAUUGGACAAUGGGCGCAAGCCUUAUGCAGCCAUGCCGCGUGUAUGAAGAAGGCCUUCGGGGUGUAAAGUACUUUCAUCGGGGAGGCGUUACCCGCAGAAGAAGCACCGGCUAACUCCGUGCCAGCAGCCGCGGUAAUUC
rnacentral:rRNA from 1 species